UUUUCUUUGCACUAAUAGCAUUGAAGUAUGGAGCAGUGAUUCUGGUGAGAGUGGAGCACGACUGUCUCCGUGGCGCAAUUGGCUAGCGCGAUCGGCUGUUAACCGAAAGGUUGGAGGUUCGAGCCC
rnacentral:lncRNA from 1 species